AGCCCCAAUUGGCCACGGAGGAGACUCAGGAGAUCUUCAGAAUCUCCACGAUCGAGUAUCGUAAACCCCGGUUCCAGGCCGACGGGGCGGCCA
rnacentral:tRNA from 1 species